rnacentral:lncRNA from 1 species
AAAAGAAAUUGCGAAAUUUAAUUAAGCAUGCAUGUGAAUUGCCUAUGCCAAAAUCCGUGGCCAAAUCCUCGUAUAUUUAGGAAUUUAACUUAUGCAUAUGGACCGUUUUUUAUCAAUAUAAAAAGCAUAGAUUUGUUGCGGUAAAAAGGAGAGGGAGAAUCUAAGAGAGAAUUAAGAAAAGCCGAGAGCAGCAGGAGCAAUUUGGAGGAAGAAGACGCUGAUAUUGAGUUUUUCUUUCCCCUUUUUCAAUUGUUUGCUUGAAUGUUCCUACAUUCUUUAUAGAUUCUUUUUAUAUUUCAUAAAAGUUAAUUUAUUUUGCUAGGGUGAGGAUGUAGCUUGAUUUUAAAGAUUUAAUUUCGUAAAUCUGUGUUAUUUUCAGUUUAUUAUUCUAUGAUUGAGUGUUAAUAUUAUGCUUAAUACUUUUAAAUAUCUAGCCAAUACUUGAAUGAUUUAAAUAUAUAUAAUGAGAUCAAAAGAAGAUUUAUGUAUUUUUACUAUGUGUAAUGUAUGUCAUGAAUUGAAUAAAAGACAAAGAUGUGCCAACAUGACUCGUGUAAUUUUAUCUUUGAAUUUCUAUAUUUGAAUUUCUAUAGAAUUUAAUGAAUCUUUGCAUGUCUAAAUUCACAUAGAGAUAUAGUGGGUUAAUAUGUGAAUGUAUUUUUGAUACUAGUCAAGAGAGGAUAUUGAAUAAAUUAGAAAACUCCACUGUCAACAUGGGUAAUAAACUUUAAUAGCAUAGAUAGAGGACUAAAUUGGAUUAGUUAUGGUUGAAUGUCCUAGAGUCUAAUUCUCUUGGUGAUUUCUUUCACUACUUGCAUCAUUAUUUAAUUUUUAGUUGUUUUAUUUUAUUUUAGUCUUUAAUAUAACUUCACUUAUUCGACUGUUCAAAUAAAUUUGGGAUAGAAUAAUUCCAGUACCUAAAAGGAUAUACAGGGCCAAUUUAGAAUUGCGGAGGUUGAUAAAAUAAGUUGCUUGUGCUGUGUAGAUAAAAUAAGCUGCUGAUUAAAAAAGUAGUUUGGUGUUUGGUAAACUGUGUUGUUGCGGUUGCUGUGAACUUGAAAAAUAGAGUACACGCGUUUGGUAAAGUUUGUUAUGAAAGUGGUGUUUUAUUAUAUAAUAACCAAAAUAGACAUAAGUUUUAAUUGCUUGUUAUUUUUACAGUAUAUUUAAUAAAUUGUUUAGACAUUUUUUUUUCUUAAAUAUGUAAAAUUACAUUAAAAAGAUCAAUUAAAAAAAAUUAAAGAAUUUCGUAAUCUGUUAUAUAAAAUAUGAUAAAAAUUCAUACUUAUACAUAAUCCAAAUAAAAUAAAAAGUAUUACAUUUACAAUAAUUUUUUUGCAAUAAAGUUCCUUAAUUUUUUCAUUUCUUAGGAUCCAGAGCCAUUAGAUAUCAUAUGUAUUGUGAAUAUGAUGGAUUUU